AAGUGCGCGCGAUUACUAACAGAGCGACAGACACUCGAUAUCCGCCGUUUCACUGACUGGAGGAUUUGUGAUGGUGAUGCAUAAUCUCGAGGCAGUAGCUCAUAAAUUACCGAACACUAAUUAGGGGUGAGAGGCCGAGCUGUCAGUCACAUUAUCCCAAAAAUUCGAACGCAACUCCCGUGUACUUUUUUGGAGUGGCGUCGAGGAAUCCGCGGCCAGUUGUCACUUUGCCCACCGUUUGUGGAAGGGACCGUCAUCAGCCAUGUGAAAGGCGGAAGAGGCAGAUGUUGGAGUGUGUGUGAUAACAUCUCGCCCUAGUGGUUGAGGAAUGUGAACCUCGCUAAUGCCAGAGCUGAAGGCCAAGCUCUAUAUGACAUUCAGAACAUCCACAAGUGCCACAUGGCUGUCAAUUUUCACACCCCUGCUGGUGGUAUUUUUCACAUUAGCCAACAUAAGCAACUCAAAUGUUGCUGGGAAUGCUGUGGCCUUUCUGUAUCAAGGGCAUUACCGCUGCGCCACAGCUCUGAGGUCGGAGAGCUGCGGAGAUGUUUUAAUGGAUGGAGAAUGCCGCUGAUCCCACAUCUAAGACCAGCAGG